GAUGAACGCUGGCGGUAUGCUUAACACAUGCAAGUCGAACGGUCACUUCGGUGAUAGUGGCGGACGGGUGAGUAACGCGUGAGAAUCUGUCUUCAGGUCGGGGACGACAGUUAGGAAUGACUGCUAAUACCGGAUGUGCCGAAAGGUAAAAGAUUUAUUGCCUGAAAAAGAGCUCGCGUCAGAUUAGCUAGUAGGUGGUGUAAGAGACUACCUAGGCGACGAUCUGUAGCUGGUCUGAGAGGACGAUCAGCCACACUGGAACUGAGACACGGUCCAGACUCCUACGGGAGGCAGCAGUGGGGGAAUUUUCCGCAAUGGGCGAAAGCCUGACGGAGCAAUACCGCGUGAGGGACGAAGGCUUUUGGGUCGUAAACCUCUUUUAUUAGGGAAGAUUUCAGGACGGUACCUAAUGAAUAAGCAUCGGCUAACUCUGUGCCAGCAGCGGCGGUAAU
rnacentral:rRNA from 1 species